UAGGCUGUUGCUCAGUCAUGUGGCUCUUCACAGUUGUAUCUGUGCUCCCUCUUAGUGCUCUGAAAUCUUGGGCUCCUCUCCCUCUUGAUUGCUGGCUGAAAAUCUUGGCUUGGCACUCCCAAGCUGCACACCACAGCUCUGGGACAAUCUCAAGCUUUAUAUCCCUUCCCAUCUUGGAGGAAUCAGAGGAAGGAAAGUUAGCAGUGGUUGUGACAGAGGGUUUUUCACUUGUCUCUUGGAGCUCCACCUCAGAAAGACGCAGAGCUGCUAUCAAUCAGUGUGAUUGGCCUAGGAUGGGGCAGCUGUGCUGUGAGACCAAAUUCUCCUGCUGUUGCCCAGACUGGAGCGCAGUGGCACGAUCUUGGCUCACUGCAAUCACCACCUCCCGAGUUCAAUUAAUUCUCCUGCAUCAGGCUCCUGAGUAGCUAGAUGCGGUUUUACCAUGUUGGCAGGAUGGUCUCGAACUCCUGACCUCAGUGAUCCACCCUCCUCGGCCUCCCAAAGCGCUGGGAUUACAGGUAAAAGCCCUUCAUGACCCAACAACAAUCUAACCAUGUACAACCUAGAACCUGAAGAUUGGGUCUUUGGAAAUUACACCACAAAAAGACUGCUUUCGAAGUUUGUUGGAAGAGACCAUACCAAGUUCUACCCACGUGGCAGUAUAACUUAAGGGCCUCGAGGCUUAGAUCCACUUUUGUCAAUCUAACAGAACCCCUUCAGAAUCUUGGGACUGUAAACCCACUGAAGACCUCAAGCCCAUGGCAGACAUCCAGCUGAUCGCACCGUGUCCACAUAAGGCAAAUGCUGAGCUGUAAUCCAUCAAGCUGUUUCCGCAUAGAGAAAAGGCCAUGUGAGUACACAGACAGAAGGUGUCUGCCUACAAGACAAAGAGGGAAAACUUACCUGAAACCAAACCUGAUGGAUAUUGAACUUCUAAGCUCCAGAACUGUGAGAAAAUUAAUUUUAUGUGCUUUAAGACACUCAAUUUGUGGUAUUCUGUUAUGGCAGCCUAUGUUAGUCAAUUUGCAUUACCAUAAAGCAACACCUGAGAGUGGGUAAAUUAUAAAGAAAAGAAGUUGAAUCGGCUCAUGGUUCUUCAGGCAGUACAGAAGCGUAGUGCUGGCAAUUGCCCCUGGCAAGGGGCUCAGGAAGCUUACAAACACGGCAGAAGGCAAAGGGAAGCCAACAUAUCACUUGUAAGCUCAGGAAGCUUACAAACAUGGCAGAAGGCAAAGGGAAGCCAACAUAUCACAUGUAAGCUCAGGAAGCUUACAAACAUGGCAGAAGGCAAAGGGAAGCCAACAUAUCACGUGGCGAGAAAGAGAAGCGGUAGGUCACAGACUCUUUUAAACAACCAGACCUCACGUGAACUGAGGGGAAACUCACUUUCACCAAGGAGAUGGUGCUAAACCACUAAUGAGGGAUCUGUCCCAUGAGCCAAUCACCUCCCACCAAGACCUACCUCCAAUUUUGGAAAUUAUAUUUCAACAUGAGAUUUGGAGGGGACAAACAUCCAAAUCAUAUCCCAGCCUGAGCAGACUAACAGAGUCUCUGAAUAAAUCUAUGGAAAUGA